UACGGAGGGUGCAAGCGUUAUCCGGAUUUACUGGGUUUAAAGGGUGUGUAGGCGGGUCUUUAAGUCAGUGGUGAAAUCUCCGAGCUCAACUUGGAAACUGCCAUUGAUACUAUUGAUCUUGAAUUUUGUUGAGGUAGGCGGAAUAAGUCAUGUAGCGGUGAAAUGCUUAGAUAUGACAUAGAACACCAAUUGCGAAGGCAGCUCGCUACACAAUUAUUGACUCUGAGGCACGAAAGCGUGGGGAUCAAACAGG
rnacentral:rRNA from 1 species